rnacentral:lncRNA from 1 species
GGAAUUCUUAGCAGUGUUUAGACGUACCGAAAUAAAACAUCCGUCAUUCUUUAAUAAUCAUAGAAGGUUAACAACUAGUCUGUUUCCCGGCCGUUAUUGAAAUUCUUGACAAUACCUUAAUAUUUGUAUAUUCCGAAGGCAUACUGAAUGUUUUACGGAGGGGACCAACCUAGUUAACAACGUGCUAUUGGGAAUUUUUUUUUCGGAUAAUAAUCUUUUAGACAUACAUUAAAAACGGUGUCAUUGAUAGGCAACCAUGAACACAAUGAAAAAUGAAUCCGUGAAAGUGUUCCAUGUUUAUUCCAUUCAAAUAAAGACUUGUUAUGAUAAUACCAUAUAUUUAACUAUUUUAUCAUAAAAAAACAA